ACGGGUGAGUAACACGUAGGGAACCUGCCCGCGCACCGGGAAUACGCUCUGGAAACGGAGAACAAAUCCCGAUGUACAGGAAGGAGGCAUCUUCUUUCUGUGAAACAUCCUCUAGGGGAUGGGGCGCGGAUGGACCUGCGGUGCAUUAGUUGGUUGGCGGGGUAAAGGCCCACCAAGACGAUGAUGCAUAGCCGGCCUGAGAGGGCGGACGGCCACAUUGGGACUGAGACACGGCCCAGACUCCUGCGGGAGGCAGCAGUAGGGAAUUUUCGUCAAUGGGCGCAAGCCUGAACGAGCGAUGCCGCGUGAGUGAAGAAGGCCUUCGGGUCGUAAAGCUCUGUUGCGGGGGAAAAAAGGCAGCAUCAGGAAAUGGGUGCUGACUGAUGGUGCCCCGCCAGAAAGUCACGGCUAACUACGUGCCAGCAGCCGCGGUAAUACGUAGGUGGCGAGCGUUAUCCGGAAUGAUUGGGCGUAAAGGGUGCGCAGGCGGUCCUGCAAGUCUGGAGUGAAACGCAUGAGCUCAACUCAUGCAUGGCUUUGGAAACUGGAGGACUGGAGAGCAGGAGAGGGCGGUGGAACUCCAUGUGUAGCGGUAAAAUGCGUAGAUAUAUGGAAGAACACCAGUGGCGAAGGCGGCCGCCUGGCCUGUUGCUGACGCUGAGGCACGAAAGCGUGGGGAGCAAAUAGGAUUAGAUACCCUAGUAGUCCACGCCGUAAACGAUGAGGACCA
rnacentral:rRNA from 1 species